rnacentral:rRNA from 1 species
UACGGAGGGCGCGAGCGUUAAUCGGAAUCACUGGGCGUAAAGCGCGCGUAGGCGGCCGCUCAAGUCCCGCGUGAAAUCCCCGGGCUCAACCUGGGAACUGCGCGGGAUACUGUGCGGCUGGAGUGCGGGAGAGGGGUGCGGAAUUUCCGGUGUAGCAGUGAAAUGCGUAGAGAUCGGAAGGAACACCAGUGGCGAAGGCGGCACCCUGGACCGGCACUGACGCUGAGGCGCGAAAGCGUGGGGAG